rnacentral:lncRNA from 1 species
UGUAAAAUGACAGACACGGUUAAACACAGUAUUUAGUCCAUUCCGAAGUUGUAGUUUGUUUUGACAUUUCCGUUUUAUUUAACCUAACCUAUGUUUUGUGUUUUAUUGUGUUGUAUACAAGGAGUUGUAUAUUGAAAUUGAAUUGAUUCUUGUUUCAUUGAAUAUAGAGGAGUUGUUCUGUUGCAAGUUGUUCUAGUUUUGUUGUUUUAAAAUCUGCGAAAAACUAUUUAUAGAUAAUGGUGAACUUAAACAAGAAAUGGACAUGCAGUUUGCUGAUUACUUAAUUGUGUACUCACAACACAUAGGUACAGGCAUUAUGCAAAUACAUACCAUUUAGAGGAUACUUCAUUCAAAUUGGAGGACUCUGCGAUAUUGGGCUUCCUUAAUAGUUUACCAGACGUAGACACUGUCUUUUUCUUGGUAGAAAAUGACACCUGUUUCACCCUUUCUGAAUUUUCUAAAGUCUCAUAUUUGGAUCAACGUGAAAUUUGUUGGCUUUCACAGCUUUAAUUUGAUUAACGGCUGUCAUUAAAAUAUCUUCACUGUUGCAUUUUUGACCUAAUGCAAUUACUUACAGUGCUGAGCAGAUAGUAUCUCAUGUAAUUUCUAUCUAUCCCUCGGUUUUUGAUGUGUGCGUAGGUGCUGAAGACUCCAGUUCUUCCCAAAUAUCACUGCUUGGAACUUAAUUAUUUAGUGUGACUCAUGUAAUACAAAGGUAGUGAAUGUGCUGGCAAAUAUUUGAUUGAAUUAAAGAUUUGAUUGAAUUUAAUUUAAUAAAAUAAUCAAGGCAAGUACAUGAGUAGGAAUGGUAGCAUAUUUUACAUAGUAUGUAGCUGACAAGAUAACAUACAUUAAACAGUUUCUCUGUAACAGUACAUAUUUUUGAGUUUGUUUUAUUUUUAAUUAUCCAUUUUUUAAAUUCAUCAUUUCCUUCCACACUUUCAAUAUCAAAUUUAUAAUUUGUGGCUACAAUUAAUGGCAGUCAAUCAAUCAGUCCUUUUUCCUGAAAGCCACAAAAAUGUUGACAAAAUUAAAUCAAAACAUAUUUACAAACCUUUUGUUAUCUGAAUUAGUCUUUCCACUUGUUUAUCUCGAGUGUAGUGUGUCAAAUUAUGCAUGCUUUUAUCUAGUUGUUUCACCUUUUUAUAAUACUGUGCAUACUCUCCAAGUACAUAUUUGUAUUUGUUAGUAAUUCCUUUCUAUAACAGUAGAACCCCGACUUAGUAUUCAAACUAUAAUUUUUACUCAGGAUUUCUCUGACACAGUUUCCAGUACAGAACUGCCACAGGAAUCUCCAGUGGAGUUGCAACCGCUCUCACGGACGUCCACAAAUCAAGUUACAAAACUGUUACAUGACUCUAUUGGAGUUGCAACCACAAUUGGAUAAAAGUGAAAUUCGAAUAAUGCCAGAAAGACUAUAACAGUCCAAAGUGAUAGUGUGAAAUUAAAAACAAAUGAUUACGUAUAAAUCAUAUUUAUAAUAAUUAUAAAUAGUAGCUGUAUUUUUUAAAUAAACAGAUUUGAUAAGU